GCCAGACUUAAAUUGAAGUGUAGGCACCAAUCGGCAGGGGGUCUGGGGCCGCUUAAGGCCCCCAGUGGGUCCAGGGCAAAGCCCUGGUAGGGGGUUCAGGGUGGCGAAGCCCCCGACGGAAAACGGUUUUGAGCAUUUCUGGAUGCAAAAUUUUUGAUUUCGUUGCACAGAAAACAUUCAAUUUACUGGUUAUUUUUCUCAUGAAAUAUAC
rnacentral:lncRNA from 1 species